GACGAACGCUGGCGGCGUGCUUAACACAUGCAAGUCGAGCGGUAAGGCCCUUUUGGGGGUACACGAGCGGCGAACGGGUGAGUAACACGUGGGUGACCUGCCCUCAGCUCUGGGAUAAGCCUGGGAAACUGGGUCUAAUACUGGAUAUGACCUUUCCUCGCAUGGGGUUGGGUGGAAAGUUUUUUCGGCUGGGGAUGGGCCCGCGGCCUAUCAGCUUGUUGGUGGGGUGAUGGCCUACCAAGGCGACGACGGGUAGCCGGCCUGAGAGGGCGACCGGCCACACUGGGACUGAGACACGGCCCAGACUCCUACGGGGGGCAGCAGUGGGGAAUAUUGCGCAAUGGGCGGAAGCCUGACGCAGCGACGCCGCGUGGGGGAUGACGGCCUU
rnacentral:rRNA from 1 species